rnacentral:lncRNA from 1 species
UGCAUGGCUCAGUGAACUAAACACAGAAAUAUAGUCAUGAGAUUAAAUGAUAGAAGGAUGGGACCAUCACAUUUUUCAGGGAUCAGUUUUGUGCUACUUACCUUUUUUAGAUAAGACAUUAAAGAGUUCCAUUUAUUUAGAAUGCAGCUAAUUUGUAACUGAAUUUUAAAGGUAUGUUGUUUAGUGUGACUAUUUAAUAGAGCUCAAACUGAGAAUUGGUGUCUGACCAGAAGUUUGGAGAGUUUGCAAAUUUGGAGAGUUUGCAAAAUAGCAGUGACAAAUUCUGUGCUGGUCCUCAGGUCUGUCACUCCCCUGCUAACUUCUGCCUCUCGGAAACCCUGCUUUUC